rnacentral:rRNA from 1 species
ACAAACGCUGGCGGCAUGCCUAACACAUGCAAGUCGAACGGACAGAACAGGGACGCUUUUCGGAGUGGAACUGGAAAGUUAGUGGCGGAUGGGUGAGUAACGCGUGGACAACCUACCUUGUAAAGGGGAAUAACCUCGAGAAAUCGAAGCUAAUACCCCAUAAUAACCUUGCUUCGCAUGAAGUAAGGAGGAAAGGCGGCCUUAGCGCUGUCGAUACAAGAUGGGUCCGCGUCUGAUUAGCUAGUUGGUGAGGUAAAGGCUCACCAAGGCGACGAUCAGUAGCCGGCCUGAGAGGGUGAACGGCCACAUUGGGACUGAGACACGGCCCAAACUCCUACGGGAGGCAGCAGUGGGGGAUCUUCCGCAAUGGGCGAAAGCCUGACGGAGCAAUGCCGCGUGAGUGAAGAAGGCCUUCGGGUUGUAAAACUCUGUCCUUAUCGAAGAGAGAGUGUUGUAGUAACUGACAAUACUAGGACGGUAGAUGAGGAGGAAGCCCCGGCUAACUAUGUG